CUCCCUUCUGCCCCCCGCGGGAGAGUGGCGCAUGCGCACCUCGUUUAGAAUGCCGUGGGUAUCCCUCCGCUCGCGCGCGGAGAUUGAACCGCCUCACGGAGAGUGUCGAAGGCGCUUGAAGCUGGAGGCGCAGAAAUGUCGAGCCCUGCCCCCCGCGUGCGUCCUGGCCAAGCCCCUCAGGCUGCUCUUUAAACGUCGCUCGUGAGGGGAGGCCGGGUUAGGAAGCGCUCCGGAGCAGUAUGAGACCUGACUGAAUUUGUGGAGUUGCGUGUGACCUGACGCUGUCUCAUGCUCGGACUCUCCGCAGGAGCUGCCCAUAAAUUAGGAUUUCUCAAGCUUUUGGUGCUGAUGAACCUUGGGGGGAUUAUGAAACAUUCCAUAAUCUGUCCAGACUUCCACUAAACAUAAGCAGAUUGUGUCCACAGUUGGUGCUCUAGUACCGACAGAGAGAGCAGUGCAUCCUGGGUAGCUAGCCCACUGUGCAAAUUGCCACCGUUUCCUGCUAGGAGUUCUGUGAACGGAUCACAGUGCAUCAUGGGGAUGGGAUCACCACUGGAUGAUGCAGUUUUCUCCAUCCCAUAAUUCCAAGGGCUUCGAACUGCAUUGUGCGCUGCUUUUCAACUGCCCCUGUAAACUUUAUGCCCACCAUCUGUGCUUGAAAGCAUGGAUCCUGCCAUGCUCCUCACUCUUGUGAUAAACAUUAUGAACAUAACGCAGCUGAUCCUGCAGUAUUUGGUGACCUGCAAAUCUGAACAAGAAUCUGUGGUGCCUGUUCUGCUGUAUGGAAAGAAACAAUUCAAGAUUGAUGAUGGUAUUCACGGAGCAGCUGCACAUGGUAGACUGUCCCUAUUGGGCUCAGGAAACAAGCACCGAAUGCUGGGAUCAGAUUGUGAUACACAUAUGGGAUGAGGAGAGACAGAACUUUUAUAUGUGCAAAGCCACCUUUCUUGAACUCCAUGUGGAGCUCAUCUUCAUCCUUUGGUGCAGACACCAAAAUGAGAGCUGCCUUCAUUGUGGAAAGUGUAUGGCAAUCACUGUGUGGAAACUGGCAACUCCAGACUGCUACCACCUACCAGUCAAUCAUGAAUCAGUUUGAGUUGGGAAGUCCACCGUGGGAUUGCAGUGAUGGAAGUGUGCAGGGCCUUUAAUUGCCUCCUGCUAUGAAGGACUUUGACUCUGUGUAUUGUGCAGGAAAUAGUCAAUGGCUUUGCAGCAAUAAGAUUCCCUAACUGUGGCAGAGCAAUAGAUGGCACGCAUAUCCCAAUUUUGGCCCCAGACCAUCUUACAAUGGAGUACCUCAACAGGCAGGGCUACUUCCGUAUAGUAUUGCAGAUGUUGGUUGAUCACUGGGGUUGUUUCACUGACAUCAAUGCAGGGUAGUCAGGGAAGAUGCAUAACACAUGCAGCUUCAGGAACACUGCCCUGUAUGGAAAACUGCUUGCAGGAUCUUUCUUUCCAGACCAGAUGAUUCCAGCGGGGGAUGUGGAAAUUCCCAUAGUGAUCUUGGGAGACUCAACCUAUCCCUUACUCGUGUGGCUCAUGAAGCCAUACACUGGAAACCCUGACAGCAGCAAGGAGUGCUUCAACAACAGGCUCAGCAGGUGCAGAAUGACCAUAGAAUAUGUGUUUGGCAGAGUAAGGGUAGCUGGUGGUGCCUUUUAGGCAGGUUAGGCCCCAUUAAGGAAAAUAUUUUCAUGGUCAUAGCAGCCUGUUGUGCUUUACCUAACAUUUGUAAAGCCAGGAGG